UACGAAGGGGGCGAGCGUUGUUCGGAUUUACUGGGCGUAAAGGGCGCGCAGGCGGCUCAUUUUGUCAGGCGUGAAAGCCCCGGGCUUAACCUGGGAACUGCGUUUGAUACGGAUGGGCUAGAGUUCGGGAGAGGAGAGUGGAAUUCCCAGUGUAGAGGUGAAAUUCGUAGAUAUCAGGAGGAACACCAAUUGCGAAGGCAGCUCGCUGGGACGUUACUGACGCUGAGACGCGAAAGCGUGGGGAGCAAACAGG
rnacentral:rRNA from 1 species